GGAUAACCUGCCCUGCGGUGGGAAAUAACCCCGGGAAACUGGGGAUAAUGUCCCAUAGACUACGGAUACUGGAAUGUUCUGUAGUUCAAAGAUUUAUCGCCACAGGAUGGGUCUGCGGCCGAUUAGGUAGUUGUUGGGGUAACGGCCCAACAAGCCUUUGAUCGGUACGGGUUGUGGGAGCAAGAGCCCGGAGAUGGAUUCUGAGACACGAAUCCAGGCCCUACGGGGCGCAGCAGGCGCGAAAACUUUACAAUGCGGGAAACCGUGAUAAGGGAACUCCGAGUGUCCGUAAAUGCGGACUGUCCGUAUGUUUAAAAAGCAUGCGAAGAAAGGGCCGGGCAAGACCGGUGCCAGCCGCCGCGGUAAUACCGGCGGCUCGAGUGGUGGCCACUAUUACUGGGCUUAAAGCGUUCGUAGCUGGGUUGUUAAGUUUCUUGGGAAAUCUACCGGCUUAACCGAUAGGCGUCCAAGGGAUACUGGCAAUCUAGGGACCGGGAGAGGUGAGGGGUACUUCAGGGGUAGGAGUGAAAUCCUGUAAUCCUUGGGGGACCACCUGUGGCGAAGGCGCCUCACCAGAACGGCUCCGACAGUGAGGGACGAAAGCUGGGGGAGCAAACCGGAUUAGAUACCCGGGUAGUCCCAGCCGUAAACGAUGCGCGUUAGGUGUAUCGAUGACCACGAGUCAUCGAGGUGCCGAAGGGAAACCGUGAAACGCGCCGCCUGGGAAGUACGGUCGCAAGGCUGAAACUUAA
rnacentral:rRNA from 1 species